rnacentral:rRNA from 1 species
UGGGGAAUAUUGGUCAAUGGGCGCAAGCCUGAACCAGCCAUCCCGCGUGCAGGAAGACGGCGCUAUGCGUUGUAAACUGCUUUUCCAGGGAGAGAAACUUGCGCACGUGUUGCGCAAUUGACGGUACCCUGGGAAUAAGCAUCGGCUAACUCCGUGCCAGCAGCCGCGGUAAUACGAGGAUGCGAGCGUUAUCCGGAUUCAUUGGGUUUAAAGGGUGCGUAGGCGGACUAUUAAGUCAGUGGUGAAAUCCUGCAGCUUAACUGCAGAACUGCCAUUGAUACUGAUAGCCUUGAGUUUGGAUAAGGUAGGCGGAAUGUGUAAUGUAGCGGUGAAAUGCUUAGAUAUCAAACAGAACACCAAUUGCGUAGGCAGCUUACUGAGCCGACACUGACGCUGAGGCACGAAAGCGUGGGG